UAUACAUAUUUGAAUCAUGCUUAAAAUGUAGGAAGAAUCCAACGAAACCAUUAUCCAAUCAUCUGAAGGCAUCACUUCUCUGUUAAUUCCAGAUUUCUUGGCCUACCCAGACCCCAGUAUCUUAUUCCAAAUGGUAGGAUCCUGCUAGACUGGAGACCAAUUCCAACCUGAACAGGAGCAGAAAUCUGAUUUGUUGGUAGAGGAAGAGAGAUGAAAAAAAGAGAAGGAAAAGGUCCUGGUGAGAAACCCAUUGUACAUUCUGGUUGUUGUGAACACUACCCAGUUGUACCAGUGCCAUUGGUCACUGACCCAGUGCCUCCUUCCAGCUUUGGGACUUAGCGGUCCACUAUCAGCAAACUACUCCAAUGAAUGGGUGGUGAGAGAGGAAGAGAUAAUAUGCAUUGUAACAUCAGAGAAGGGUGUGGAGUUCUGUACCACAGAAUCAGAAGCUAUAGAGAAGAAUAAAAUGUAGUGUGGAGUCUUCUAGAGAGGUUACUGGAACAAGAGUGAAGAGAUCAUAGGAUCAUUGUAGAUGUCACUGGUGAAGAGCAAGACUUACUCAGGAUGUCUGUGGUGUGUGAGGCCAGAGCAGAUGUGAUGAGUUACCCAAGAUCACCUUCAGUUUGUGGGUUAGGGCUGACACUGUGUCCCAGGUAUGUCUUUUUUCUCUGAAUAAGUUAUUUGUCUCUCAGUCAUGGCAUUAACCUUUUUUCUGUUUGUAGUAAAUUUCUUUUCAAAGGCUCAGGAUACACAUUUCCUUGAGGUUAAUCUUCAGGUAAUAAAAGAGAACACUAAAUACCUUCAAAUAAAAAGAAAUGGAGUGUUGAUUUUUCUCAUCCAUCUCCAAACUGUAUUGGGAAAUUAGAAGAAAUUUCCUGAAUCUUAUAGUAGGUGUUCUUUUCUUUUUUACUCCCUCCACAGAGGGAGUUGUAGAUCAUUCCUUCUCAUUAGUGUGUGGUAUUACAUUGUAUGAAUAUUUCAAAAUA